AUUGGGCGUAAAGCGUCCGCAGGCGGCCCUUCAAGUCUGCUGUUAAAAAGUGGAGCUUAACUCCAUCAUGGCAGUGGAAACUGUUGGGCUUGAGUGUGGUAGGGGCAGAGGGAAUUCCCGGUGUAGCGGUGAAAUGCGUAGAUAUCGGGAAGAACACCAGUGGCGAAGGCGCUCUGCUGGGCCAUCACUGACGCUCAUGGACGAAAGCCAGGGGAGCGAAAGGGAUUAGAUACCCCUGUAGUCCUGGCCGUAAACGAUGAACACUAGGUGUCGGGGGAAUCGACCCCCUCGGUGUCGUAGCCAACGCGUUAAGUGUUCCGCCUGGGGAGUACGCACGCAAGUGUGAAACUCAAAGGAAUUGACGGGGGCCCGCACAAGCGGUGGAGUAUGUGGUUUAAUUCGAUGCAACGCGAAGAACCUUACCAGGGUUUGACAUCCUGCGAAUCUCUUGGAAACAGGAGAGUGCCUUCGGGAACGCAGUGACAGGUGGUGCAUGGCUGUCGUCAGCUCGUGUCGUGAGAUGUUGGGUUAAGUCCCGCAACGAGCGCAACCCACGUCUUUAGUUGCCAGCAUUUAGUUGGGCACUCUAGAGAGACUGCCGGUGAUAAACCGGAGGAAGGUGUGGAUGACGUCAAGUCAUCAUGCCCCUUACAUCCUGGGCUACACACGUACUACAAUGCUACGGACAAAGGGCUGCAAGUUCGCGAGGACAAGCAAAUCCCAUAAACCGUGGCUCAGUUCAGAUCGUAGGCUGCAACUCGCCUACGUGAAGGCGGAAUCGCUAGUAAUCGCAGGUCAGCAUACUGCGGUGAAUACGUUCCCGGGCCUUGUACACACCGCCCGUCACACCAUGGAAGUUGGCCACGCCCGAAGCCGUUACUCCAACCCUUGUGGAGGAGGACGUCGAAGGUGGGGCUGAUGACUGGGGUGAAGUCGUAACAAGGUAUCCGUACCGGAAGGUGCGGAUGGAUCACCUCCUAA
rnacentral:rRNA from 1 species